UACGUAGGCAGCGAGCGUUGUUCGGAAUUACUGGGCGUAAAGAGUGUGUAGGCGGUGCUCCCAGUCUGUUGUGAAAUCUCCCGGCUUAACUGGGAGGGUGCAGCGGAAACUAGAGUGCUAGAGGGUGGGAGAGGUAAGCGGAAUUCCUGGUGUAGCGGUGAAAUGCGUAGAUAUCAGGAGGAACACCUGUGGUGUAGACAGCUAUCUGGACCGUAACUGACGCUGAGGCGCGAAAGCGUGGGGAGCAAACAGG
rnacentral:rRNA from 1 species